rnacentral:rRNA from 1 species
UACGUAGGGGGCAAGCGUUGUCCGGAUUUAUUGGGCGUAAAGGGCUCGUAGGCGGUUUGUCGCGUCGGGAGUGAAAACACGGGGCUUAACCCCGUGCCUGCUUCCGAUACGGGCAGACUAGAGGUAUGCAGGGGAGAACGGAAUUCCUGGUGUAGCGGUGAAAUGCGCAGAUAUCAGGAGGAACACCGGUGGCGAAGGCGGUUCUCUGGGCAUUACCUGACGCUGAGGAGCGAAAGUGUGGGGAGCGAACAGG